rnacentral:rRNA from 1 species
AGUGAACGCUGGCGGUAGGCCUAACACAUGCAAGUCGAACGGCAGCACAGAGGAGCUUGCUCCUUGGGUGGCGAGUGGCGGACGGGUGAGGAAUACAUCGGAGUCUACUCUGUCGUGGGGGAUAACGUAGGGAAACUUACGCUAAUACCGCAUACGACCUACGGGUGAAAGCAGGGGAUCUUCGGACCUUGCGCGAUUGAAUGAGCCGAUGUCGGAUUAGCUAGUUGGCGGGGUAAAGGCCCACCAAGGCGACGAUCCGUAGCUGGUCUGAGAGGAUGAUCAGCCACACUGGAACUGAGACACGGUCCAGACUACUACGGGAGGCAGCAGUGGGGAAUAUUGGACAAUGGGCGCAAGCCUGAUCCAGCCAUACCGCGUGGGUGAAGAAGGCCUUCGGGUUGUAAAGCCCUUUUGUUGGGAAAGAAAUCCAUCUGGUUAAUACCCGGAUGGGAUGACGGUACCCAAAGAAUAAGCACCGGCUAACUUCGUGCCAGCCGCCGCAGUAA